rnacentral:rRNA from 1 species
UGCCCAAGGAUUUAACGGCCGCGGUACUCUGACCGUGCGAAGGUAGCACAAUCACUUGUUCUUUAAAUGAGGACUAGAAUCAAUGGCAUCACGAGGGUCCCACUGUCUCCUUUUUCUAAUCAGUGAAAUUGAUUUCCCCGUGAAGAAGCGGGGAUAAUUCUAUAAGACGAGAAGACCCCAUGGAGCUUCAAACUCAACGAAUAACUCUACAAUUAUGAUAUCUUAAGAGAUUUAUCCGUUAGUUUUGGGUUGGGGUGACCACGGAGAACAACCUAACCUCCGUAAUGAAAAGAAAUCAUAAUCUAAGAGCUACACCUCUAAGAAUUAACAAAUUAACAUAUAAUGAUCCAUUUUAUUGAUCAAUGAACCAAGUUACCCUGGGGAUAACAGCGCUAUCCACUUCUAGAGUCCAUAUCGCCAAGUGGGUUUACGACCUCGAU